UCCCUGGGCCAUCUCCUGCCUCAGCACCCGCAGGGUGGUAGGAGCAGCUCUGGAUUCAUGAGUGCCAGGUGCACAGCAGGGCCUCCAUGGUGUGGGCAUGAAUCCAUGUGCCAGGCCCCGUGGGCUCUGCGGAGGUGCUGCCUGUGCCGGAGCGAGGCCGUGAAACGUCUCCCUGAGCGGGAGCAGCCGCGCAGAGGGAACAUGACAGGGCUGACACGCCACCAGCAUCACCCCAGCAGCGUGAUGGGGACAAGGCCAAGGUGACAACAGGACCAAGGUGUCCAGGGGCAGGACCCUUCAGUGUCCCUGGGGAGAGCUGGGAACUGCUACCCAUGGCCUGGGAGGGAGCAUCCCUGGGGCAGAGCCAGCCUGGGAGCCACAUCCUGGCCCAGGGUGCAGCUCCCUGCACAUGGAGGGUCUCUGCUGGCCCUUUGCUCUCCCGAGCUGCCUCUGGAGCAGCCUCAUCUCUUCUCCUUCCCUUUUCUCCUGGAAAUUAAGGCUCCACAGCUCAGCAGAGGUUGGUGCCAACCCACAGGCCGGGCACAGCCCCUGCCUGCCCCUGGCUCCGUGUGCUCUGCCAGCCUUGGCCUCACCCUCCCACGGAAAGGAGCCCUUCUCCUGGUGAUAAUUACGGAAAAGUUCAGUGCUGAGAGAGGCGGGGGGAGGGAUGUAUUAAAAUGCAUGCGCACAGCUUGGGCCUCGCAGCA